UACAUCCAACGCGGGAGCUCGCGCCAUGGCGGGCUGAGAGGGCGACUGGACGACCGGGUCCCGGCGUCGCCGACCGCACGAACCUGACUGGGUAAUGCCAGCGUAGGGAGUGAACGUCGUUGCAGA
rnacentral:ncRNA from 2 species